rfam:Schistosoma rodhaini strain Burundi genome assembly, scaffold: SROB_scaffold0000022
GCACUGCCGAGGAGUGCCGUAAUAGGACGAAACGGCCGUCCAGUGC